GAGACAGAGAGACAGAGAGAGAAUGAGUGGGGGAGGGGAAGAGAAAGAGGGAAACAGAGGAUCUGAAACAGGCUCUGUGCAGAUAGCAGACAGUCCAUUGUGGGGCUGGAACUCAUGGACUGUGAGAUCAUGACCUGAGUUGAAGUCAGAUGCUCAACCAACUGAGCCACUCAGGCGCCCCUCUCUCAAAAUUAAUAAACUAAAAAAAAAUUAUUUUAGCCCAUGUAGAGUUUUAAAAAAUGUUUUCGUGGGCAAAGAGGGCCUGGGGCUUCCUAGUCUGCCAUCUUGCAAAUCUCACUUCACUGUGGCCAGUGUUAUAGUCCCAUUUAUUUCAAUGCUCACUAGUAGUUUGGAUAUGUGAACAAAUUGGAUAUGUGAACACAGGCUUCAGGCCUUCCUCAUGGUUUCUCAGCAGGAAUCAAAAUGAGGUGUGUUUUAAUAGCACAAAAUUACAUUCAACCUAUGUAUACUUGUACUACAUCAAGAUGGAAGCAUUUACAUGCUAUAUUAAUGCAAUUAAAAGAAAUGUAAAGUGAUAGAUUUUGUUUUGCAAAGCCAUGGGUUAGCAAUUCUGAAACUACUUCCUGUACAUUCUGUCUCCCCACAAGAUGCUUAUUAGUAAUUGUAUAGUGGAGAAAUCUGAAAGGCACUACCUUAACCAAAUGAUCAAAGCUGACAGUGCCUUAAGGGGACAAUGUGCCUCCUGAUAUAGGUGCAUUAGAAUUUUUUGUAGUAUUCCUGCUGAAAAUAAUCUAAAUUUAACACCAAGAAAACAUUAGUGAAAUCCAAUUUGUCAAUAUUAUGAAAAUAUAAAGAAAUCAUCAGGAAAACACUAACAAUUUGUUGCCUCUCAUUUAAAGUAAGCCCUGUCAGUGUGGUUUCUUUUCUUUCUCUUUUUUUUCCAGCCACAUUGAGCUGUACUGCAAGGGUACAGAUGCACAGUGGGCAAAGGUCGUUAUACAAUCAGAACUGUAUUUAACCAAAGCAAGAGAGCAGCCAGCAAGUUACAGGUGUACACAAGCGAGUAUACAGGCUGACCAUGUUAAGAAGGGAGAAGAGGGAUGGCGAGGUAUAGAGCUAUGAUCAGUGCAUCCGGCGUGGGGCUGGGGAGACUUCCAAAAUCUGGGUAGGCGCUUAUGAAACUACAAAACUUCCCUGGUCCCACAGACAGGUGCUUCUCUGGAGACUGGGGCCGCCUGGGGUCAGCCAGCAUCCAAGCCCCACGCACCUCCUGCCGCCCAGGACUACGCUUCCCGGCGGCCUCUGCGCCCGGCGCCCAGGACUACACUUCCCGGCGGCCCCCACUUCGGAAGCGGUUUCGUCCAGAUCUGCCUUCCCGCCGCUGAUUGGCUGCUGGCGUCCGCCGUCCGCGCGGCGGCUCUCGGAGGUGGUGUCGGUCCGCUUGUCCUGACGCCAGGGGUUGUUAGUAUUCAAGGACGUGGCGAUAGACUUCACCCAGGGAGAGUGGAACUACCUGGGUGCUGCACAAAAGGACUUAUCCAGAGACGUGAUGUUGGAAAACUACCACAACCUGGUCUCUGUCGUAGGACUUUCCAGAUCUAAGCCAGAUGUGAUCUCCUUAUUGGAGCAAGAGAAACAGCCUUGGAUAGUUACAGGCCAUGACAGGCGGACCUUGCCCAGGUGAGUGAGAGCUCAUUGACAGAGAGAGGCCUUGGCAACCCAGGUGGCCUUGCCCUGCGGCAGUUACCACCUUUGAUAUUUUUAUUGGGAAGUGCCCUUCCAAGGACUGAGGCCUGACAAGGGAGAGAAGGCCUGAGUCAUAGAAAAGUAGCUUUGUUUCUCUCCCUUCUCAGAAACGUAGGUGCCCCCCUUCUCCAUGACCAGCAAUCUUUUCCUUAUAUGUGCAAUCUAAUUCUUUCCCAGCUUCCCCUUGUCAUUUAAACUUGUGUAAGUAUUGUCACUUCUGAACAAUA